rnacentral:RNase_P_RNA from 1 species
AAUGCAAGCUGGCUUAUCGUUCUUGUUCUUUGGGAUAAGAGAGGAAAGUCCGGGCAACAAAGAGCAUCGUACUUCCUAACGGGAAGGAUUCCGCUUUUUAGCGGGAGACAGAAAGUGCCACAGAAAACAAACUACUUGCGUUUAGGCGUGAGAAAAGGUGAAAAGGCGGGGUAAGAGCCCACCGGUCUUGAAAGUGAUUUCAGAUGCAUGGCAAACCUUACGAGUUGAAAGGCCAAAUAGGCCCCGAUCAAGAACUGCUCGUUCAAAAGAUUGCUUCGGCAAUCCAUCGGGGUUGGGUAGGCUGCUUGAUCCUAUUGGUAACAUUAGGGCUAGAUAAAUGAUAGGCAUCCCGAUUUGAUAAUUUUAAUUAUUAGUAUCGGGAAACAGAACCCGGCUUACAGGCUUGCAUUUUUU